GUAUCAUCUAUUCUUCGGCCUGGAUGCCUUGCAGGCUAUGCCUGCCAACGACCUCCCCACUUGACGGAAAAAACUAAGGGAAAUGUGGCCCACUUGUGGGUGUUAUAGUCCCUUACAAAAUACCUUGGGUUGGAUUGAGGAACGCAUCGAAUGCUUUUUGGCGAGUUUUCCAGGAAGGUUUUCUGAGGUACUACGGUAUCAGGUUGAUCUUUUUGGUUAUACUUCUAUUCCUUAGUUU
rnacentral:rRNA from 1 species